rnacentral:misc_RNA from 1 species
GGCAACACGAAGCUCAUUGUAGAAAGUGUGAUGCCAGAUCUUUUCCAUAUCGUCCCAGUUGCUGACAAUACCGUGCUCAAUUGGGUAUUUCAAGGUCAGAAUACCUCUUUUAGAUUGUGCUUCAUCACCUACAUAGGCAUCCUUCUGACCCAUCCCAACCAUCACACCAGUGUGUCGGGGUCUUCCAACAAUACUGGGAAACACUGCCCUGGGAGCAUCAUCACCAGCAAACCCAGCCUUCACCAUUCCAGUUCCAUUGUCACAGACAAGGGGCUGAAUAUCCUCUGCGUCGGCCAUUUUUUUUAAAAGCUGCAUAAACAUGCAAAGAAAUGAGGGCAAGAAAUAAGAAAUAUAAACAUACAGAGACACACACAAGCAUUUCAAACUUAUUUUCUAAUGCCAUCUUCAUGAACGAAAGAUAUAUUGUUAAAUUACCCAACAGUUCCAUAUUUUUUUAAUCCUCACACAUUCCAUUCAUCAAAACAUGAACUUCUCAGUCAAGUUACAAAAAGCAUUUGUAUAGUCUAAUCAUGGAUCCUAUAGUUCAGAAUUAUAUACAUUAUAAGCAGGAAUCAGGGAUGAAGAAAUACUUCACCUAUUACCAUAGAACCAGACUCAGCGGCCAUGACAAGAUAAUAGUACAGUAUCCCACAUUAAUUUUUAAUUAUUAAAUUGAAAAAUAAAAUCUUGUUACUGGGUAUAACAAUUCUUGAGAUUCGAAAUCUUUACAAUUUCAAAUCCAGAAAAGCGAUAUCUCAAGUGGAUGUCUUUAUACUCGUUUCACUGCCCCUAAGUUCCCAAUAAUGUUAUAAGCUUUUACUCUCCUUUAUUCACAAUUCAUCAAUUUCACACUUUCAGAUCAUCAGAAAAACAAAUGCAGCAGUUCAAAGCUAGAUCGAAAAGAAAAAAUGCAACAGAACAAAUUCCAAAAAUCAGAAAGGGAAAUUAAAACCAAAAUGGAAAAGCAGAUCAAAUCGUUCAAGAACAGAUCCAGAAAUGAGAAAACCAGAUCAAGCAAUUAAAUCAAGGGAUCCUAGAAUAUCAAACACUUGAUCGAGCGAAUCUAGCUCCACAUCUCUCCACCAACAAACACAAGAACCAAAUCCAUAGAUCGGCAACACAAAAUCAAAACAAAAACCAACCAAAGCAAUCGAUUUCUCAAAAGCAAAAAACGAUACCGUAAAAACCGAUAUACUCAAAAGCCAUAAACAAGAAACAAAAUAGAUCGAUGCUUACCUUAGAAUUUAGAAGCGAUCGAAGCGUAGAAGAAAGAUCGAAAAGAACCAAACCAAGCCAAUCUCAGAGACGGCCUGGGCUCUUUCUCAGGUUUUCUUUUGCACUCGGAAGAAGAGACGCAGAGAGAGAAAGCAGGCUACCCU